GACGAACGCUGGCGGCGUGCUUAACACAUGCAAGUCGAACGGAAAGGCCCUGCUUUUGUGGGGUGCUCGAGUGGCGAACGGGUGAGUAACACGUGAGUAACCUGCCCUUGACUUUGGGAUAACUUCAGGAAACUGGGGCUAAUACCGGAUAGGAGCUCCUGCUGCAUGGUGGUGGUUGGAAAGUUUCGGCGGUUGGGGAUGGACUCGCGGCUUAUCCGCUUGUUGGUGGGGUAGUGGCUUACCAAGGCUUUGACGGGUAGCCGGCCUGAGAGGGUGACCGGCGACAUUGGGACUGAGAUACGGCCCAGAAGCCUACGGGAGGCAGCAGUGGGGAAUAUGGCACAAUGGGCGGAAGCCUGAGGCAGCAACGCCGCGUGCGGGAUGACGGCCUUCGGGUUGUAAACCGCUUUCGCCUGUGACGAAGCGUGAGUGACGGUAAUGGGUAAAGAAGCACCGGCUAACUACGUG
rnacentral:rRNA from 1 species